AUUUUUGUCGAGCCUGCGACUUUUGUCGCAGAAAGCUCGACAUAGGGAUAGCGAUCCGGCGGCGGCGGCGGCGGCGGCUACGGCGGCGGCGGCGGCGGCGUUAGCUAACUUCUUAAAAGCUUUAUAUUUUAGAAGGUGGAAGGUCUGGAUGCUUCAUACUUUGUAUAUGGAUGCCUCAUGUUACGAAGUUUCCGUCAGUCACAUGUCCAAUGUCCUUGACCUCAUUUUCAUGGUUCAGUGACUACUUGAAAAAAAAGUUAAGAUUUUUUGUAAUGUUAGAUUCUCUCUUAUUAUAAGUAAUAAGAUAACUAUAUUUGGUAUGUGCGUACCUUGCAAGGUCCUCAUGCCCGUCAGACAGUUUUCACUUGACCUCGACCUCAUUUCAUGGAUCAGUGAACAAGGUUAAGUUUUGGUGGUCAAGUCCAUAUCUCAGAUACUAUAAGCAAUAGGUCUAGUAUAUUCGGUGUAUGGAAGGACUGUAAGGUGUACAUGUCCAACUGGCAGGUGUCAUCUGACCUUGGCCUCAUUUUCAUGGUUCAGUGGUUAUAGUUAAGUUUUUGUGUUUUGGUCUGUAUUUCUUAUACUGUAUGCCAUAGUUCUACUAUAUUUGGUGUAUGGAAUGAUUGUAAGGUGUACAUGUCUAGCGGGCAGGUGUCAUCUGACCUUGACCUCAUUUUCAUGGUUCAGUGGUCAAAGUUAAGUUUUUUGAGUUUUGGUCUUUUUUCUAAUACUAUAUGCAAUAGUUCAACUAUAUUUGGUGUAUGGAAAUAUUUUAUGAUCUAUUUGGCAGUCACACAGGUUUUAUUUAACCUUGACCUCAUUUUCAAGGUUCAUUGCUCAGUGUUAAGUUUUUGUGUUUUGGUCUGUUUUUCUUAAACUAUAAGCAAUAGGUCAACUAUAUUUGUUGUAUGGAAGAAUUGUUAGCUGUACAUGCCUGCCUAGCAUGGUUCAUCUGACCUUGACCUCAUUUUCAUGGUUCAUUGGUCAAUGUUAAGGUUACUUGGUUUAUGUUAAGUUUAUGUGACAGUUGUAAUAAAGCUUUAUAUUUAGGACUAUCAACAUAAUAUCAAUGAUUAGUAAAGAAGGCGAGACAUUUCAGCGUGUGCACUCUUGUUU